GUGGGGAAUUUUGGACAAUGGGCGAAAGCCUGAUCCAGCAAUGCCGCGUGCAGGAUGAAGGCCCUCGGGUUGUAAACUGCUUUUGUACGGAACGAAAAGCCUGGGGCUAAUAUCCCCGGGUCAUGACGGUACCGUAAGAAUAAGCACCGGCUAACUACGUGCCAGCAGCCGCGGUAAUACGUAGGGUGCAAGCGUUAAUCGGAAUUACUGGGCGUAAAGCGUGCGCAGGCGGUUUUGUAAGACAGUGGUGAAAACCCCGGGCUCAAACUGGGAACUGCCAUUGUGACUGCAAGGGUAGAGUGCGGCAGAGGGGGAUGGAAUUCCGCGUGUAGCAGUGAAAUGCGUAGAUAUGCGGAGGAACACCGAUGGCGAAGGCAAUCCCCUGGGCCUGCACUGACGCUCAUGCACGAAAGCGUGGGGAGCAAACAGGAUUAGAUACCCCAGUAUCC
rnacentral:rRNA from 1 species